GGAGAGAUCAGUUCAAAUCAGGAGGAAGACCCAAAGCAUCCAUGGGUUUCAGAGCAUCUCAUAAGAUUUGAAAGGCAAAAGCAAGGAGUGAAACUGAAUGUGAAAAAUGAAAACUGCCCACCUGGUGAAGAGAAGGGAAGGAGGAAAUCAGAAGGGCAUAUAAAUCUAAAAGUCUCGGCAUUACUUCAGAGAUGCUGCAUACUCAGUUCUGCACUUUGUGGGGGCUACAGAACACCAAUUCUCUACAAACCACCAGCUUGCAGGAAGAUAACUAAGUAUACUCAAUCCAUCUUUUCUAUAAGACCAGCUGCAGAGGGAAGUGAAUGAGCAGCUUUGGUGAAUGCCUGGCACCCAGCCAGCAUCAACCCACUACAUCAACCUCAGAGGACUGCCUUCUGAUUUCCAUGUCAUAUGACCUUUGGAAAUUAUUCCUCAAAUUUCUUGAGGAAAAAGGACAAAACAAAAUAGGAUUUGGUAACUUUUACUCUGUUCUUUUGCUGCUCAGGUUCUAGUUAGUACCUGAUGUUUGUGGGUUUUUCAGCACUGUAUCAGAGGUCUGAUUCUCCUUUUUGAGCAUUUGGCAGAUCCCUAGAUCCAAAAAACAAAUUCUAAGCGCAUUUCUUUCUACAUCCCAAAAUAAACAUGAUGCAAUGCUCUAA